AGCCAGUGGGGCAGAGGACCUGCUGCCCCAUGGAGGGCCUCCAGGCUGAGCAAAGGGCUCCCCAAACAGAAAACAGCAGGAGGCACACAUGUCUCAAGGGGCCAAUGGGCCAUGGCUACUCCAUUUUGGUGAAGGGGUCCUCCACAUGAGAGAUGUCAGCCCCCCAAAUGAAACUACGCAUGGUCACAUAGCAAGCUCCCUGCCAGCUGAGACUGCUGCAUCUCCCACCCUCUAACAGCGUCAGUGACAGAUGGGGCACAACCAGGCAGGAACCAGAAUCAUCCCCUCUUCAGCCACAACAUUGCUGGGUCCCAGGUGGGUGAGAGACCCUGAGGGGAUAAGACAUUGGAUAAAAGAUAGAGGGGAUGAGAUGGCAUGUCACCCCUCACAGACACAUGCACGUUAACUCUUCUACAAGACACACGUCUGAGCUGAACAGCAGUGGGAGCAGAAGUGGGGACCUCUGAAUAAGUAUAAAAAUGGAUUUUCUUGUUUGGAUUAGUGAAAAUGACCAAAAAGCAAUGGCCAUGACUUAGAGAUAUGUGUGUUCUCAUUACCUAAUGACACCAUCUGCUGUAAAUUUCUUAGCAGGUAUUGGACCAAUAAAAGCAUUAUUAGAAGCCAUUAGAACAAUGACUAAAAUAAUUAUGGUAUCAAUCCUAGGACUGAGUGAGUUAGGCAGCGUACAAGGGUCUUAUCUACACUGUAAAAACAAAACCUCUUACCCUGCUCUGAGUUACUAAAAUGGAAAUUGGAGACUUCUUUCUCCACUCCUGAAUCUGAGCCAUGUCACAAAGUGGGACCCCUUGAAGCAAGGUGACCCUGGGACAUGUCCACAGGAAUGAGCUGUGACUCUCUCUCCUAGGUGUUUCCAGAGGUACUUGCAAGAUGGCUGUGCUCUGGGGAAAGGGGAAUGAGCAAAGACCCAGAGAAACCUCCGUGGACCACAAAUCAGAGAGGAGCAGGUGGAAGCUGAGGUGCCUGGCCAUUCAACAGGAGAGGCCCCAGAAAGUACAGAGAUUGGACGUCCCAAACUGUCAUAUGCCAAACUGUCAUAUGCCACACAAAGGCCCUGCUGGAAGACGUGAACCUGCCCACACAACAAAGUGGCAAGACGCGAACCUGCCCACACAACAAAGUGGCAAAUCAAGCCAGGGUGCUCUCUGAAUUUAGGUUGACACAUACGAAGGAGGAGAGCACAGCUCUGGGGGCACAGAGAACACCAACUGAUGGAAAAGAGGUAGGAGCUAAAGGGCUGAGGGCUGAGGGGAUUGAGGGGGCUAAGGGGGCUGAGGGGCUGAGGGAGCUGAGGGGCUGAGGGGCUGAGGAGCUGAGGGCUGAGGGCUGAAAGGACUGAGGGUCAAAGACAAAGAGAAUAAAGGGAAAGGAAAAAGAAGACAAAGAAAUAAAACUGAAGAGCUAAAGAAAAAAGAA
rnacentral:lncRNA from 1 species